AUUUUAGUUAAAAAUUGGAAAAAAAAAUUGAGAAAAAAAUUAAAAAAAAUAAUUUUAUGUUUAAAAUAAAUUUUUUAAUUAAAAAUCGAAUAAUUGAUAAAUAGAAAAAUAUUUAUCUGAUAUUAAUCAUAAAAUGGUUAUUAAAUAAUUAAAAUUUCUAAAAAAAUCUUUCACUCAUAAAGUGUUCACUCAUUAUAGUACUUUGGUAAAAAAAUUAUAAAUGCCGAUUUGACAGUAAAAAUAGUAACAGAGGAUUUAAAAAAAAAAACCUGCCUAUUUAACCACGCAUCUAUAUGCUCACUGGAAUGAAAUUUGAAUGCAUUGACAUUUACACAAUGGUCUAAGUGCAAAAAGAUUUCUUUUUUCAUUCCUCCUUGAGCAUGUGUUCAAAAAGUUCAAAGGAUUUUUACUAAUUAAUAUACACAAAUAACAAGAAAGAAAAGCUAAAAAUUAAAAAGAAUAAAUAAAAUGAAAUAAAUUAAAAUAUUGCCGUUAUUUUCCACCGAGAUUAAAUUAGUUAAGGUUUUGUUAUUAUUUUCUUCUAUUUCAUUUUUAAAGUACUUUAAUAUACAAAAAAACAAUAAUAAAUAAAUUUAACUAACAAACUGAAAAGAAAAAAAUUUUUUUUUAUAUAAUAAUAAUUUACACAGAUACUUAUUCGUUUACAAUAUUUACAUGAGUAAUAUUAAUAUAAAAGGAAAAUCUUUAAAGUAACUCAUAUAUUAUAAUUAAAUAUUAAUAAUUAAUAUUAUAAAAUACAAUUAACGUUAUUAUAUAAAAAGGAUACUAUGGUGUCCUUUUAUGCAAAAAAAAACAAAAAUAUAUUAUGAAUAAAAAAUUAUUAAAAAAAUAAUAUAAAAUAAUAUACACUGCACAAACAUAAUAUUUUAUUAUGUAAGGACUUCAAAAAAGAAAAAAAAUAUAUAAACAACAAAACAAAAACAUCUGUGAUCUCUAAUCCUUUUAAAUUAUACUAUAUGUAUUAUAAUUGCUAUCACUACAAUUACUAUGUACAUUAAUAUUAUUUUAUGUAGAGAGAACAGUAAUAGAAGCACUAAAGUAAAAAAUAUAAUAUAUAUAAUUAAUAAAAAUAAAUACAGAAGCAACAAUAAUAAUUGCAGUAACAUCAACAGCAGCAUCAGUGACAAAAACGAAAAUAAAAAAAUUAAUAUCAGUGGCAUAAUAAGCUAACAACAUACAUACAUACAUUCAUAGAAACGUACGUCAUAUAAGAGAUGUUAAACUACUGAAUUUCAAUAAAGGAAAAGCAGUACAAAAGAUAAAACGGAGUCUGAAGGAAAAAAAUUAAAAGAGCGGAAAUUAAAUGAGAGAAGGAUAAAAUAAUAAUUAAAUUGAACAUAACAAACACUCCUGUAACGAUCAUCCAAGAAGCAUUCACCCUGUAUUUUUAAUUUUUUCUUUCAUAAUGUUAUUUCAAUAAUUUUAGAGUGCAGUUAGUUGUAUUUUUUUGUUGUUUUUUUUCUUUAUUCUUGUUUGGCAAAUGUUAACUUUCCGGUUUAACACAUUUUUGUACAUUAAUAAAAAAAAAACUGUGAAUAAACACUGAGAGCCAACUUUAAUUAAACAAUAUUAGAAAAACACGUGAAAAUAAAUGAGAAAAAUUAAAAUUGAAAAAAAAAAAAACAUUAUUGUUGAGUGGAUUUAACUUAAUUUACUCGAAUAAAAACUUAAAGGAAUGAGAAAAACAAAUGCAAAACACAUACAUACAUACAUGUAUAUGUAAAUGAAUUAUAGUUAAAGUAAUAGAAUUAAUAAAAAUAAUAUUUAUGUUAAAAAUUAAUAAAAAUAAAUAUAAAAAAAUUAUAAAUAAAAAUAAUUCAUACAAAGGAUAAAAACAAAAAAUAAUAAAACAAAGAAAAUAAAAGAAAAAAAAAUAAAAGUUUUUCAGAAUAAUGAUCAUUAGAAUGGCAAAUAAUCAUCAACUUUUAGGAUUUUUAUUUAUACUAGGAUUAUUUAUAAAAGGUAAGAUGACUAUAUGUACAAUGUAGCGUAAUGUGAAAGUCACGUUAAAAAAAUGAAAAUUUUGGACAAAUUUUGUGAGUAGUAACAUAGCCGAAUAUUCACCAUUUUCCUAUUUAAAUAAUUUUUAUUGUUCGAUAAAAUAUUUUUAUUUAAUAUAGUAGACGAAGAUCGAUUUGAUCCAACAUUUAUAUUGUUGGUCUAUGACAGAUUUUGCAAUAUAAUUGCUUUUGCAAUUAAUUAACAAAAUUGACUGGAACUAUGCGUUUUUUUAAUAUUAAUUAGUUUUUAUUAUGACUUAUAGACGCAGCUCAGAAUCACAAUUUUUUGCAAUAAGAAUGUGUAAUUUAUGUUUGAUCUAUAAUAUAAACGAUAACAAUGCACAGAAUGAUUUAUACUGAAAUUUUUAGGUUAAACUAAAAUUUAGUUUGGUUUUUUUUAAAGAAAAGUAUCGGGGCUAUACUGCUAGGAUCACGUAAAUUUCUAGAUGAACGUAUUCAAGCUGAUUACGAAUAAUUCUUUUUUCGGUAUAACAGUAAAAUAAUGUGCCAAUAAUAAACGUUUUGUGCCAAAAGAUAAACAAUGUGUAUUAAAUUCUUAUUUUUUUCAUAUUUUUCAUAUUUUAAUACACGUAUG